GAUGAACGCUGGCGGCGUGCUUAACACAUGCAAGUCGAACGAAGCACUUGGAUCUCUUCGGAGUGCUGAGUGACUGAGUGGCGGACGGGUGAGUAACGCGUGGGUAACCUGCCUCGUACAGGGGGACAACAGUUGGAAACGACUGCUAAUACCGCAUAAGCGCACAGGAUCGCAUGAUGCAGUGUGAAAAGCUGAGGCGGUACGGGAUGGACCCGCGUUGGAUUAGCUAGUUGGUGGGGUAACGGACUACCAAGGCGACGAUCCAUAGCCGACCUGAGAGGGUGACCGGCCACAUUGGGACUGAGACACGGCCCAAACUCCUACGGGAGGCAGCAGUGGGGAAUAUUGCACAAUGGGCGAAAGCCUGAUGCAGCGACGCCGCGUGAGCGAUGAAGUAUUUCGGUAUGUAAAGCUCUAUCAGCAGGGAAGAAAAUGACGGUACCUGACUAAGAAGCUCCGGCUAAAUACGUGCCAGCAGCCGCCGUAAGAC
rnacentral:rRNA from 1 species